UAACGCGUGGAUAACCUGCCUCACACAGGGGGAUAACAGUUAGAAAUGACUGCUAAUACCGCAUAAGCGCACAGUCUCGCAUGGGACAGUGUGAAAAACUGAGGUGGUGUGAGAUGGAUCCGCGUCUGAUUAGGCAGUUGGCGGGUAACGGCCCACCAAACCGACGAUCAGUAGCCGGCCUGAGAGGGUGAACGGCCACAUUGGGACUGAGACACGGCCCAAACUCCUACGGAAGGCAGCAG
rnacentral:rRNA from 1 species